UAGCAAGGUUAACCGAAUAGGGGAGCCGGAGGGAAACCGAGUCUUAAUUGGGCGUUAAGUUGCAGGGUAUAGACCCGAAACCCGGUGAUCUAGCCAUGGGCAGGUUGAAGGUUGGGUAACACUAACUGGAGGACCGAACCGACUAAUGUUGAAAAAUUAGCGGAUGACCUGUGGCUGGGGGUGAAAGGCCAAUCAAACCGGGAGAUAGCUGGUUCUCCCCGAAAGCUAUUUAGGUAGCGCCUCGUGAAUUCAUCUCCGGGGGUAGAGCACUGUUUCGGCUAGGGGGCCAUCCCGGCUUACCAACCCGAUGCAAACUGCGAAUACCGGAGAAUGUUAUCACGGGAGACACACGGCGGGUGCUAACGUCCGUCGUGAAGAGGGAAACAACCCAGACCGCCAGCUAAGGUCCCAAAGUCAUGGUUAAGUGGGAAACGAUGUGGGAAGGCCCAGACAGCCAGGAUGUUGGCUUAGAAGCAGCCAUCAUUUAAAGAAAGCGUAAUAGCUCACUGGUCGAGUCGGCCUGCGCGGAAGAUGUAACGGGGCUAAACCAUG
rnacentral:rRNA from 3 species